CGUUGUGGUUGAGUGGUUUGUAGACGGUAUGGUUGCCCGAAUUAGAAUAUUGAAUCAUUUUGGAAACGAAGCAAUGGUUCAUAUGGUGUAAUAAAGUCAAACAAUGGUUGGGUGUUAUGGUAUUGAGAUGUUUGGGUGUUUAUAAGUGGGGGGAUAUGAUGGGAUGAGAUUGAAUCGUAUAAUCAUUCGGGUUAUAGACAUAUGUGGUAGUUGCAUAUGGUUGUUGGUGGUUAGGGUUUGGUUCCUGGUUUUGAGUUUGAGUGCGUGGCAUGAAUUGGCUGUGUGGUUGGGUGUUUG
rnacentral:lncRNA from 1 species